CAACAGCUAGAGUUUGAUCCUGGCUCAGGAUGAACGCUGGCGGCGUGCUUAACACAUGCAAGUCGAGCGAAGCGCUUUUGGAAGUCUUCGGGCGGAAGGAAGCGACUGAGCGGCGGACGGGUGAGUAACGCGUGGGUAACCUGCCUCGUACAGGGGGAUAACAGUUAGAAAUGACUGCUAAUACCGCAUAAGCGCACGAGAUCGCAUGAGAACGUGUGAAAAACUGAGGUGGUACGAGAUGGACCCGCGUCUGAUUAGGUAGUUGGUGAGGUAACGGCUCACCAAGCCGACGAUCAGUAGCCGACCUGAGAGGGUGACCGGCCACAUUGGGACUGAGACACGGCCCAAACUCCUACGGGAGGCAGCAGUGGGGAAUAUUGCACAAUGGGGGAAACCCUGAUGCAGCGACGCCGCGUGAAGGAAGAAGUAUUUCGGUAUGUAAACUUCUAUCAGCAGGGAAGAAAAUGACGGUACCUGACUAAGAAGCCCCGGCUAACUACGUGCC
rnacentral:rRNA from 1 species